rnacentral:rRNA from 1 species
GACGAACGCUGGCGGCGUGCUUAACACAUGCAAGUCGAGCGGUAAGGCCUUUUCGGAGGUACACGAGCGGCGAACGGGUGAGUAACACGUGAGUGAUCUGCCCUCAACUUCGGGAUAAGCUUCGGAAACGGGGUCUAAUACCGGAUAUGACUUCCUGCUUCAUGGUGGGUGGUUGAAAGGUUUUUCUGGUUGGGGAUGGGCUCGCGGCCUAUCAGCUUGUUGGUGGGGUAAUGGCCUACCAAGGCGUCGACGGGUAGCCGGCCUGAGAGGGCGACCGGCCACACUGGGACUGAGACACGGCCCAGACUCCUACGGGAGGCAGCAGUGGGGAAUCUUGCGCAAUGGGCGAAAAGCCUGACGCAGCGACGCCGCGUGAGGGAUGACGGCCUG